CAAAGGGACAGCCAGAGUGUCUGAAGAGGAUCAAUAAGGUGUUGAGAGCAGUCUCCGUCGGCACAGAAAGGGAGAAACAUCAGAGCAGAGGGAAGCUGUGGACAUUCACAAGAUGGUGAAGAUGCAGUGGAGUCUGUUGGUGUUGAUUGUGAUGGGUCAGUGUUCCUCCAUUGG